ensembl:snRNA U1 U1 spliceosomal RNA
AUACUUACCUGGCAGGGGAGAUACCAUGAUCACGAAGGUGGUUUUCCCAGGGCGAGGCUCACCCAUUGCACUCCGGGUGUGCUGACCCCUGCGAUUUCCCCAAAUGUGGGAAACUCGACUGCAUAAUUUGUGGUAGUGGGGGACUGCGUUCGCGCUCUCCCCUG